GAUGAACGCUGGCGGCGUGCCUAAUACAUGCCAGUCGAGCGAACAGACGAGGAGCUUGCUCCUCUGACGUUAGCGGCGGACGGGUGAGUAACACGUGGAUAACCUACCUAUCAGACUGGGAUAACUUCGGGAAACCGGCGCUAAUACCGGAUAAUAUAUUGAACCGCAUGGUUCAAUAGUGAGAGACGGUUUUGCUGUCACUUAUAGAUGGAUCCGCGCCGCAUUAGCUAGUUGGUAAGGUAACGGCUUACCAAGGCAACGAUGCGUAGCCGACCUGAGAGGGUGAUCGGCCACACUGGAACUGAGACACGGUCCAGACUCCUACGGGAGGCAGCAGUAGGGAAUCUUCCGCAAUGGGCGAAAGCCUGACGGAGCAACGCCGCGUGAGUGAUGAAGGUCUUCGGAUCGUAAAACUCUGUUAUUAGGGAAGAACAAAUGUGUAAGUAACUAUGCACGUCUUGACGGUACCUAAUCAGAAAGCCACGGCUAACUACGUG
rnacentral:rRNA from 1 species